GUAGGGAAUAUUGGACAAUGGGCGAAAGCCUGAUCCAGCAAUGCCGCGUGAGUGAUGAAGGCCUUAGGGUUGUAAAGCUCUUUUACCAGGGAUGAUAAUGACAGUACCUGGAGAAUAAGCUCCGGCUAACUCCGUGCCAGCAGCCGCGGUAAUACGGAGGGAGCUAGCGUUGUUCGGAAUUACUGGGCGUAAAGCGCGCGUAGGCGGCGAUUUAAGUCAGAGGUGAAAGCCCGGGGCUCAACCCCGGAAUAGCCUUUGAGACUGGAUUGCUAGAAUCCUGGAGAGGUGAGUGGAAUUCCGAGUGUAGAGGUGAAAUUCGUAGAUAUUCGGAAGAACACCAGUGGCGAAGGCGGCUCACUGGACAGGUAUUGACGCUGAGGUGCGAAAGCGUGGGGAGCAAACAGGAUUAGAAACCCUGGUAGUCC
rnacentral:rRNA from 1 species